rnacentral:ncRNA from 1 species
ACGGUCCUCGGUAGUGGCUGCCGGAACGCGUCAUCCGUGUGAGGAUGCGCGAGGUUCCGGCCGCUUCGAUCGAAGACCG